rnacentral:lncRNA from 1 species
UCUCUGUAUUAAAGGCUGUGGACUUUCUAUAAAAAUCCUGAUUCAUUUGCCACAAAAUCCCCUUCCUCCAUCAAAUGCAAUGAAACAGCAAAAAAAAAUGCCCUACAUCAAGUUUCCACUUGGAACACGUACCAAAUGGCCCAUCUCUACUAUUCAUCACAUCCCCAGUUCUGACACAACCGAGGCCUGAAAAAUUCGUACAAAAAUGGCCACAGAAGGGCACACAAACCUUAAAAUAAUGCAAUAUAGUGGAACAUGCAUGCUACUUGUGAGCACACACGAGCAAAUAUAUGUUAACAGUGUUACUUACUAAAUGCAAAAUAUAUUUAAAUAUAUAGGCAAUUAAUCAUCAGUUAUUUAAAGUACCUUGAAAC